GAUGAAGAACGUAGCGAAAUGCGAUAAGUAGUGUGAAUUGCAGAAUUCAGUGAAUCAUCGAAUCUUUGAACGCACAUUGCGCCCCUUGGUAUCCCGAGGGGCAUGCCUGUUCGAGCGUCAUUUCACCACUCAAGCCUGGCUUGGUGUUGGGCGACGUCCUCUUUGGGGACGCGCCUCGAAACGCUCGGCGGCGUGGCACCGGCUUUAAGCGUAGCAGAAUCUUUCGCUUUGGAAGUCGGGGCCCCGUCUGCCGGAAGACCUGCUCGCAAGGUUGACCUCGGAUCAGGCAGGGAUACCCGCUGAACUUAAGCAUAUCAAUAAGCGGAGG
rnacentral:misc_RNA from 1 species